rnacentral:rRNA from 1 species
UACGGAAGGCAGCAGUGGGGAAUAUUGCACAAUGGGCGCAAGCCUGAUGCAGCCAUGCCGCGUGUAUGAAGAAGGCCUUCGGGUUGUAAAGUACUUUCAGUCGUGAGGAAGGUGUUAAGGUUAAUAACCUUAGCAAUUGACGUUAGCGACAGAAGAAGCACCGGCUAACUCCGUGCCAGCAGCCGCGGUAAUACGGAGAGGGCUAGCGUUAUUCGGAAUUAUUGGGCGUAAAGAGCGCGUAGGCUGAUUAGUAAGUUAAAAGUGAAAUCCCAAAGCUUAACUUUGGAAUUGCUUUUUAAAACUGCUAGUCUAGAGAUUGAAAGAGGAUAGAGGAAUUCCUAGUGUAGAGGUGAAAUUCGUAAAUAUUAGGAGGAACACCAGUGGCGAAGGCGUCUAUCUGGUUCAAAUCUGACGCUGAGGCGCGAAGGGCGUGGGGAGCGAAACAGGGAUUAGAUACC